UACAGAGGUCUCAAGCGUUGUUCGGAUUCAUUGGGCGUAAAGGGUGUGUAGGUGGCGCCGUAAGUCGGGUGUGAAAUUUCGGAGCUUAACUCCGAAACUGCAUUCGAUACUGCGGUGCUUGAGGACUGGAGAGGAGACUGGAAUUCAUGGUGUAGCAGUGAAAUGCGUAGAUAUCGAGAGGAACACCAGUGGCGAAGGCGAGUCCCUGGACAACUUCUGACGCUGAGGCACGAAAGCUAGGGGAGCAAACAGG
rnacentral:rRNA from 1 species